rnacentral:rRNA from 1 species
GAACGCUGGCGGCAGGCCUAACACAUGCAAGUCGAGCGGAAACGAGUUAUCUGAACCUUCGGGGAACGAUAACGGCGUCGAGCGGCGGACGGGUGAGUAAUGCCUAGGAAAUUGCCUUGAUGUGGGGGAUAACCAUUGGAAACGAUGGCUAAUACCGCAUGAUGCCUACGGGCCAAAGAGGGGGACCUUCGGGCCUCUCGCGUCAAGAUAUGCCUAGGUGGGAUUAGCUAGUUGGUGAGGUAAUGGCUCACCAAGGCGACGAUCCCUAGCUGGUCUGAGAGGAUGAUCAGCCACACUGGAACUGAGACACGGUCCAGACUCCUACGGGAGGCAGCAGUGGGGAAUAUUGCACAAUGGGCGCAAGCCUGAUGCAGCCAUGCCGCGUGUAUGAAGAAGGCCUUCGGGUUGUAAAGUACUUUCAGCAGUGAGGAAGGGGGUGUCGUUAAUAGCGGCAUUUCUUGACGUUAGCUGCAGAAGAAGCACCGGCUAACUCCGUGCCAGCAGCCGCGGUAAUACGGAGGGUGCGAGCGUUAAUCGGAAUUACUGGGCGUAAAGCGCAUGCAGGUGGUUUGUUAAGUCAGAUGUGAAAGCCCGGGG